rnacentral:lncRNA from 1 species
AAUGCUUAUUACUUAAGCCACCUAGUCUAUGUUAUCCUGUUAUAGCAGUCUGAACAAAGACACAAUCCUUUAUCAUAUGUGUCUUUUGCAACUAUUUUCUUCCAUUUCAUGGACAGCCUUUUUAUUCUUUUGACAGGGUUUUUUACAGAGCAAAAUUUUUCAGUUUUAAUGAAGUCCACCUUGUCAUUUUUUUAAUGAAGGAGAUAUUAUUUAAUAUGGUUGUUUCAGUUACAGAGAACAAAUCUGUAUACCUUUAGUAUGAUGAGGAUUUGGAGGGAAAAUAACAAAUACAGGAUGAGAUUUGGAUAUCAUCAGAAAUUUAUUCUGGUAAGAUGGAAAAAUUUCAGGAUCAUGUUACUAAAAGGCAAUUUGGCAUUCAGAUCCUGCAUCUUUCAAAUAAUGAAAACAGAAAUAUUCAUGAUAUUUCUUAAAGCCCACCUGGAUGGGCUAGUUCUAUAAGAACUAGCUUGUGGAGUGGUACAAGUUCACAGGUUAUAGAAUAAUAUAGACAAUACUUUAUGAAUGAAUAAAUAGAUCUAUUACAUUAGGUAGACUUCCCCACUCUCUGUGUUUUGUCAUAGGGAAGAUGCACCUUGUUAAGUCCUUUCAGUUUGCAAGUGUUCUAGCAAUUUACCACCAAAAAGUUUCCUUUGACAGUUAAACAUAAGCAAAUGAACUAAGAAGUAACAUUCAGAAUUUAAAAAAAAAGAGAGAGAGAUAAACAGAAACCUCAAUUAGAUAGAUUGAGCAACCAGAAAGAUCCCUCUUCUUUCCUGACAAAGUCCCAGUCAAUGAAAAGCCAUGGACUCUUUGUUUUCUAUUACAAAAUACCCUCCCAACUUACUUUUACUCUACAAAAUUGUUCUCCUUCCUUAGCUAUAGGGGGACUUGUAUGUGGCUCGCCAUAGUGGAAGACCCCAAAUUGCUAUUUUCUGCUGAUCUUGAAUACAGCCAUUUUUGGUGGACAAAUGUUUGGCAGUCUAUUUAUUUUAGGUCAAGAACCAAAUCAGUUUAUUUUGGAAUUCAGCAUUCUAAACAAUUCUGUAAUCUAAAAUGCUGCCUUUAUUUUAUAUGCCUUUAUUUUACAUGAUAUUUAUUUUACAAGAGAGUCUCUGAAGUGGCUCAUCUGAACAUAAUUAAAAUCAAUGAAUCAUGCUUUUUUCCUGGCUCUCUGCAGCACCUAUCAUAUGGUCGACAAUAACCAAUCUGUUUCUUUCAGUGCCCAAUUACACUUUGAUGGAAAUUAAGAGUCACACAUAAACCCUCUCUAAAGAAUAGGGAAUGGAUUGGUACAAAUAGAACCUCUUCUUCACCUCUCAGAAAGGAUAUUAUGUUGAAGCCAUGGAGUGAUUACAGGACCCUAAAUAGCUGGAUUGGAUUCCAUCAUAGAUGGAACCCUGAGCCUUUAACCGUGUAGAAGCUUGGAUCAAAAACCAUCAAUUGUUCAAGAAAUAACACUAGGCAAUCAGGGGUUAGCAUCUUCCAGACGUUUGAAUUCUAAUUUUUUUUUUUUUUUGACAAGUAGACAAUUCUUAAAAUUUUGCUUUAGAUUUGCACAAGAAAAAAAUGCCUCAUAUUUCCUUUUUUAUUUCUAAAGCUUUUUGAAGAAUACAAAUUUAGAAACCUUGGAAAUACAGAGAAACAUAUUUAAAAAAUGGACAUAUUCAUUUCCCAGACAGUGCUUUGAUAGUGAAAGUAGAUGGAUUGAAAAUGUGGACUUGCAUAUAUGGGUCAGCCACUCUUUUUAGGAAAACAUAGUUUAAGAGAGAAGAUUGAGUUUUGAGUCAAUAUUAGGUAAGCAUGUUAAUUUUGCAGGCAUUGAUAAGUGAAACCAAUUUCAUUAAGCCUCAUUUUAAGAACAGAAUGUGGUGGAAAUAGGAACUGAAUAAGGUGGCUUCUUAUUAAAUCAAACUGUGGGCUCUGCUUGUAGUUCCAAUGAAACCCAUUUUUAUCUCAUUAACCUUUGGCAGGUGGUCCAUUUUCACCUCAUUUUUGAAACUAAUUGAGUUGUGUUCACUGAAUUGGUUAGAAAACACUGUAUUAAAAUCAAAACAUACAAAAUUACUUUAUCUUGCUUUACUAUCAAUAGAUUAUUAUAAUUAUACAAACACUCCUGCUGGUCUGAGUUCUUGUUUCAUAGCUGGAGGUACUUAACCCAAUAUUAGGGCAUAACUUCAAAGGGCAGAUUUUUUAUGCUCAAUACUUUGUUUUGACCAUUCUCAUUCCUAUUCUUCUUCCAUCCUCUCUACCACGUUUCAUUUCACUAGGGCUGAAUUAACAUGAUUUAUUGCUAUUCAAGUAGAAAUUUUACAUCACCUCUGUAGACAGAGCAGUCGAGGUCCUGCAUAUAAAACAGACAAUUGUCUUACAUGUAAGGUUAAAGUAAUGAAAUAUGGAUCACAAGUUGUAUUAGCUAUAUACAUGUGAGUAUGUGGAUUUAUAAUUCCAAGAGCAUAUGUAAUUGGAUGUAUUGGUUGUUCAAGCAUUUUGAGGUAUUGAAUAUAAACCUUUCCAACAAUCUAUUAGUAUUUGAUUACAUAAUAAUCGUACUGUCCUAUUUCUCUUACUCUAUUCACUGUAAUAUUUAUAUUUAAUAUGGUAUUGAAGUGACUUAAGAAAAGUACAGACUUUACAAAACAGGAUAUAACAUACUUUGUGCAGGAUUUUAUCCAGAGACAUCUAUAUUAGCUCUCAUUUCUCUGCUUCUCUUGCACAACAUCCAUAAUGCUGAUCUUUAAAUAGUGCAAUAUCUUUAGGUGACUUGUAUCAUGAGAAAAAGAUUAAUAUAUUGAACAGAGUGAAUAGUUGAGUAAAAUCCCCUCAAAGCUGACAAGCCACACAGAGUGUGUAUAUGAGGCAAGGUAAUUUUACUUUAACAAGAUUCUUAAAAUUACCAGAAAACUUAGUUUGCACCCUAUUUAUUAGCUAGUUUGCCUGAAUCCAAAAUAAAAUAAUGAUCUUUGAAAUAAUCAUUUCCAAUAUGCUCAGCUAUAUUGCAGUUAUGUCUUUGAAACCUCUUCUGUAAAAACCCCUUUAGAAAGCUCUCCCUGAUAAUCAGGGUUUGGGGAGUGGAAUUGUGGUCAUGUUAAUGUUGUUGAGAUAGGCCUAAGUUUGCUCCAGAAAGGGUUGCUGUGGAAAAACACUUGCAAUAAUGGCCCAAUGACACCGAUGGAACCACUAACAGCAAAACCUAAUGUUUUUUUUUCCCUCCCAGCCAUUAGACCCUCCCAGGCCUUGUUUACUCUACUCCCUCACAGUACUUUUCAGUCAUCAAUAUUAAUUGAACAAACACUUUGUUUGCAUCAUCAUAAUAAGCACUAUUUAAUUCCACUAUCUUCUAUUUUCAACAAUUAUAAAAACUGCUCAUCACUCCCUUCAACCUCAGGAUUGGAGUAGAGGGUUUUGGGGGAGCAUGGAUGAGUGGUUACUUUCAGAAGAAAUAUUCUGAGGUCACUAAUAUAAAGACUCUUAGGACUGGAGAGUCAAAAUAACCUUAUGUACUUUUUAAAAAAAAAAAUCAAGAUUUUUCUUUACUUCUUACAAAAUGAGGACAAGGUCUUUAAAAUUAUAGUUUAUGACAAUUUUAUACCAACAAAUCAUUUAUCAAAUGUGCAGUUCAUUUAUUUUACAUGUAUGUCCAAAAAAGGAAAUUUUAUUUAUUUAUUUAUUUGUCUUUAAAGGGCCGAGUCGGCAACAUAUGGCAGUUUCUGGGCUAGGGGUCAAAUCAGAACUGCAAUUUCAGCCUACACAGUAAUGCCAGAUCUGAGCCACAUCUGUGACCUACACCACAGCUUGUGGUAAUGCUGUAUCCCUAACCCAUGAGCCAGGCCAGAGAUUGGACCCAUGUCCUCAUGGAUACUAGUCUGGUUCCUUAACACUGAGCCACAGCAGGAAAUCUCCCCAAAAAGGCAAUUUUAAUCACUUGAUAGAAAAUAUAAUUUGGCAUUUUCUUUUUUUUAUCUUACAUUAGAAAGUUGGCUCCAAAACACAACCAAUGACUAUGAAAAUUAAAUGAGCUACUAGAAGACCUCCAAGAUUUUCUCAGGGAUGGACUGAAUAAUUUAUUUGUUUAUUGUAUAAUACCGAAAACAUAAGAAAGACAAAGAAAGACAUAAAAAAUAAUAAAGUGAACUCCUAUGUCCUUACAAUCCAGCUUAAAAAAGGAAUUUAAUCAAUAAAAUUGAAACCUGCUGAGCUAUGUUUCCAAACUACAUCAUCCCCUCAUUCCCUCAUUCUCUCAUCCCCUCAGGUUACUAGCCACAUUUUCUGUAAUUAUAAGUCCCGUGCUCUUCCUACACAUAUAAAUAUCUCUAAACAAUACUAUAUAUUCUUUAAGAAUACUUUUGCAAUUGCUCAGCUUUAAGUUUAUGGAAUUCAUCUAAUGAUGGAUAUUUACACGCAUAUGUAUAUAAACAAUUAAGACAAUUAGGCUGACAGAUAUUUGGAAUAUUUCCAAUUUUUAACCAUUGAAAUGCUAAUGUAGGCCUAUGUGCAUUUUUGGAUGAUACAUAUGAAAGUCAACCUAGUUUACAUAAGAAUUCCCCACAUUCCACAGAUAUUGUCUUUUAUCCUCUUUAUAACUUUUGCUAUCCAUGUCUCUGGGUUUCUAGUGUUGAUAAUGUGCACACAAUAGCCACGUCUGAAUAGCCAUAUUCCUCUAAGGAUUUUGUCAAAGAUUUUCUUUAAAUUUUUUGACUUUUAGCUAUGAGUGUACAAGAAUAUUUAUUGAACUUCACUCACAAGUUGUUUUGUUUCCAGUUUGUACUGGAAAUGUGGUUUGAAAUACCAUGUGUCACACUGUUAUAAGGGGUCAUAUGAUGAUAGUGAAAUAUAAGGCAACAGCUAGUGUGAUAGCAUUUUCUCUUCCAUUCGGUUAGCUCUGUCUUCAUGUCAUUUUUUACUACGGUGUGGAAAGUACAUCAAAUAAUUCUUGCAGAGGGGAGGGAGGAUGUGAGAGGAGUGGGUGCUAUGUGUGCCUUCUGUGUCUACUGGAUGUCAUAAUUUUGGAUGUGGUCAUUUAACUCCCUUAAAUGUUGGGAGUUCCGUUUUUGGUUCAUCAGUUUAAGAAAUGGACUAGUAUCCAUCAAGUUGUGGGUUCGAUUCCUGGCCUUACUCAGUGGGUUAAAGAUCCGGCAUUGCCCUGAGCUGUGGUGUAGGUCACAGGCACAGCUUAGAUCCUGAGUUGCUGUGGCUGUGGUGU